rnacentral:rRNA from 1 species
CCUACGGGAGGCAGCAGUAGGGAAUAUUGCUCAAUGGGGGAAACCCUGAAGCAGCAACGCCGCGUGGAUGAAGAAGGUCUUAGGAUUGUAAACUCCUUUUGUGAGAGAAGAUAAUGAUGGUAUCUCACGAAUAAGCACUGGCCGACUCCGAGCCAGCAGCCGCGGUAUUACGGAGGGCGCAAGCGUUACUCGGUAUGACUGGGCGUAAAGAGUACGGAGGCGGGCUUGUAUGUCAGAUGUGAAAGCCUGUGGCUUAACGUGAGAACUGCAUUUGAUACUGGGAGUCUAGAGUGUGGGAGAGGUGGGUGGAAUUCUUGGUGUAGGGGUAAAAUGCGUAGAUAUCAGGAGGAAUACUCAUUGCGAAGGCGACCUACUGGAACAUUACUGACGCUCAGGUGCGAAAGCGUGGGGAGCAAACAGGAUUAGAUACCCGUGUAGUC